UACGAAGGGGGGCUAGCGUUGCUCGGAAUCACUGGGCGUAAAGGGUGCGUAGGCGGGUUUUUAAGUCAGAGGUGAAAUCCUGGAGCUCAACUCCAGAACUGCCUUUGAUACUGAAAAUCUUGAGUAUGGGAGAGGUGAGUGGAACUGCGAGUGUAGAGGUGAAAUUCGUAGAUAUUCGCAAGAACACCAGUGGCGAAGGCGGCUCACUGGCCCAUAACUGACGCUGAGGCACGAAAGCGUGGGGAGCAAACAGG
rnacentral:rRNA from 1 species